rnacentral:rRNA from 1 species
UACGGGGGGGGCAAGCGUUGUUCGGAAUUACUGGGCGUAAAGGGCGCGUAGGCGGCCCGCUAAGUCGAACGUGAAAUCCCAGGGCUCAACCCUGGAACUGCAUCUGAUACUGCUUAGCUUGAGUUCCGGAGAGGGUGGUGGAAUUCCUGGUGUAGAGGUGAAAUUCGUAGAUAUCAGGAGGAACACCGGUGGCGAAGGCGACCACCUGGACGGAAACUGACGCUGAGGUGCGAAAGCGUGGGGAGCAAACAGG